rnacentral:ribozyme from 1 species
CAAAAAAAAAGAAAAAAAACGUAAUCCCCCCCCUCUGGGAUUUAGAGAAAUUGCAGAAAAGAAGUGUUUUAUUUAUUUUUUUAUUAUUUUAGUUUAUUUUUUUGUUUUUUGUUUUUUCUUCU